AACGCUGGCGGCGCGCUUAACACAUGCAAGUCGAGCGAGAACCAGGGCUUCGGCCCUGGGGACAGCGGCGAACGGGUGAGUAACACGUGGGUAAUCUGCCCUCGGUUCUGGGAUAGCCCGGGGAAACCCGGAUUAAUACCGGAUAGCCUCUCGAGCCCUCGGGCUCGUGAGAAAAGGUAGCUUCGGCCUCCGACCGAGGAGGAGCCUGCGGCGGAUUAGCUUGUUGGCGGGGUAACGGCCCACCAAGGCGACGAUCCGUAGCUGGUCUGAGAGGACGAUCAGCCAAACUGGGACUGAGACACGGCCCAGACUCCUACGGGAGGCAGCAGUGGGGAAUCUUGCGCAAUGGGCGAAAGCCUGACGCAGCGACGCCGCGUGAGGGAAGAAGGCCUUCGGGUUGUAAACCUCUUUCAGGAGGGACGAAGCCACUCGGGUUAAUAGCCCAGAGGGUGACGGUACCUCCAGAAGAAGCCCCGGCUAACUACGUGCCAGCCGCCGCAGUAAAAC
rnacentral:rRNA from 1 species